rnacentral:rRNA from 1 species
AAAUUGAAGAGUUUGAUCAUGGCUCAGAUUGAACGCUGGCGGCAGGCCUAACACAUGCAAGUCGAACGGUAACAGGAAGCAGCUUGCUGCUUCGCUGACGAGUGGCGGACGGGUGAGUAAUGUCUGGGAAACUGCCUGAUGGAGGGGGAUAACUACUGGAAACGGUAGCUAAUACCGCAUAACGUCGCAAGACCAAAGAGGGGGACCUUCGGGCCUCUUGCCAUCGGAUGUGCCCAGAUGGGAUUAGCUAGUAGGUGGGGUAACGGCUCACCUAGGCGACGAUCCCUAGCUGGUCUGAGAGGAUGACCAGCCACACUGGAACUGAGACACGGUCCAGACUCCUACGGGAGGCAGCAGUGGGGAAUAUUGCACAAUGGGCGCAAGCCUGAUGCAGCCAUGCCGCGUGUAUGAAGAAGGCCUUCGGGUUGUAAAGUACUUUCAGCGGGGAGGAAGGGAGUAAAGUUAAUACC